UUUGUUGUGCAUGGUUGAAGGUUGAAGAUGGAGAGGUGGUGAGACGUGAUUGUUGUUGUUGUUUAUGUCUUUUUGUGUUUAAAAAAUAGGUGACCGAUUGAUAUUGUGUACCACAUAAAAUGUGACAUCCUUUCCUGUAUUUCAUUUUUUAUAUUUUAUUUUUUGAUUGGUAUUUGGACUGGGCCGCGUGCCAUUUGCUGUCUCCACCCCCUUUGUUCUGGCCCAUUAUCAUUUAAACUGAUUUUCCUUUUAUUCAAAUUACUAGCAUGCACCCUUUUGUUUCUUUUCUUUAACAUUUGUUUCUUUUUCUUUUUCAUUUUUGUUUAGAUAUUUCCUUUUAUCCAAAAAUCCCAAAAAAAAUCAUGAAUGAUCUUUUGAGUAUUAUUUAAUUUUUCAUAUUUUUUAGUUUCAUUUUUG
rnacentral:lncRNA from 1 species